rfam:Picea glauca, whole genome shotgun sequence.
AUGUACAUACCUACAACAUAGCGUUAAUGCACUGAAUCCCAUUAGAACUCCGUAGUUAAGCAUACUCAGGAUAGAGUAGUAUUGGGAUGGGUGACCGACUGAGAAGUCCUACUACUUUACAUG